CAAAGGACCAGAUGCACUGACAGCGGUGGAGACUAGAAGUGAUUUGUCAUCGUCCCGAUCUGAAUAUUCAGGAGUCAGACGAGACAAACCGCGUGACGCGUUUCGUCCUGAAAGAGAAAACAGAUGCAGCACGCGGAGCUCGAGCGGGAGGUGUGAAGAAACGCAGUCCUGGAGAAGAACAGCGUUCUCGCUCUGUCUUACACUCCCUCUGACAGCAGUGUGUGUGUGUGUGUGUGUGUGUGUGUGUGUGCCUCCAGCAACACUGCUCUCACUCAGAGUCUCCGGCCGCAAACAAGCGCAGCGCUACGAGGCACAGGAGCGAGCGGC